AUAGGUGUGUGUGUGUGUGGGGAUAUUGAAAGAUAUAUAAAGUUACCUAGGUUACUAGCUUGAUCCGAGCUUGAUAUAACUAGCAAUAUAAUAUUUGUGCCGUGUUCUUCAUUAACGAUACGUUUGAAUUAUGACGUGAUUCUAACUGUUUAAACAGCACACCGCUGGGGGGGGGGGCCUACGCUAGCCACAGCACGAGAAUAUGUGAUUAUCCAAACCAAACUUAUUUUUAUAUAUAAAUACAGACAAGAUGUAAGAUCUCCAUUUUGGCUUUCAAGGGAUUGUUGCUCUUUUAUUUAGGGAUUAGGGAUGAUUCCUUACUUGAAAAACACACGUAACUCAGUCAAACCUUAGUCAGAUGGCAACAUCAGAUUUAUGCAAAAAUAUUGAAGUUACUCACUUCCAUGUCCGGUUAGGAUUUGGGCUUUUUAGUUUUUCUUUUGGAUUUCUCUGACCCCUGGGAUGCGUUCCAUAGGAGCCUGGCAUGCAUUCCAAAUGGCACACUAUUCCCUAUAUAGUGCACUACUUCUGACUCUAUGGGCUCUGGCCAAAAGCUGUGUAAUAUAUAGUGUGCCAUUUGGGACUUGGCCCUGGUGUAAAUAUAUGUUUGUGCUGGCUGAGUUGUACUAGGCCCUGGAAUGUGAUGAGGUGUUGCUGCCCCCCCGGUGUGUCUGUGGUAGGAUUUGCAUGGUGUUUCUAUUGCCUUACCUACUGUCACGGAGUAUCCCUUUGCCAAACACCUGGUAGUACACACCUGGUAGUACACACCUCUCGUGUGAGAGAAGAGGGUGCGGGGGGGAGAGGAGGAGGAAGAGGGGAGGCUGGAGAGAGUGCUGUAAUUUAGGUCUUAGAAAAUCUAACUAUAUAAGAAUUUAAUGUUCCAUUGACAAGAGAAAGUACAGGGGACAGAGUUUAUCACAUAUUAGAUGGUAUAGUUCAGGGGACAGUUAUCACAUAUUAGUGGCGGUGAGGUAAUACCAUCUAUUGUCUAGUUGGCGGUGAGGUAAUACCAUCUAUUGUCUAGUUGGCGGUGAGGUAAUACCAUCUGUUGUCUAGUUGGCGGUGAGGUAAUACCAUCUGUUGUCUAGUUGGCGGUGAGGUAAUACCAUCUGUUGUCUAGUUGGCGGUGAGGUAAUACCACCUGUUGUCUAGUUGGCGGUGAGGUAAUACCACUUAUUGUCUAGUUGGCGGUGAGGUAAUACCAUCUGUUGUCUAGUUGUCGGUGAGGUAAUACCAUCUGUUGUCUAGUUGGCGGUGAGGUAAUACCAUCUAUUGUCUAGUUGGCGGUGAGGUAAUACCACCUAUUGUCUAGUUGGCGGUGAGGUAAUACCAUCUGUUGUCUAGUUGGCGGUGAGGUAAUACCACCUGUUGUCUAGUUGGCGGUGAGGUAAUACCACCUAUUGUCUAGUUGGCGGUGAGGUAAUACCACCUAUUGUCUAGUUGGCGGUGAGGUAAUACCACCUAUUGUCUAGUUGGCGGUGAGGUAAUACCACCUAUUGUCUAGUUGGCGGUGAGGUAAUACCACCUAUUGUCUAGUUGGCGGUGAGGUAAUACCACCUAUUGUCUAGUUGGCGGUGAGGUAAUACCAUCUAUUGUCUAGUUGGCGGUGAGGUAAUACCAUCUAUUGUCUAGUUGGCGCUGAGGUAAUACCAUCUAUUGUCUAGUUGGCGCUGAGGUAAUACCAUCUAUUGUCUAGUUGGCGCUGAGGUAAUACCAUCUAUUGUCUAGUUGGCGCUGAGGUAAUACCAUCUAUUGUCUAGUUGGCGCUGAGGUAAUACCAUCUAUUGUCUAGUUGGCGCUGAGGUAAUACCAUCUAUUGUCUAGUUGGCGCUGAGGUAAUACCAUCUAUUGUCUAGUUGGCGCUGAGGUAAUACCAUCUAUUGUCUAGUUGGCGCUGAGGUAAUACCAUCUAUUGUCUAGUUGCCGGUGAGGUAAUACCAUCUAUUGUCUAGUUGCCGGUGAGGUAAUACCAUCUAUUGUCUAGUUGCCGGUGAGGUAAUACCAUCUAUUGUCUAGUUGCCGGUGAGGUAAUACCAUCUAUUGUCUAGUUGGCGGUGAGGUAAUACCAUCUAUUGGCUAGUUGGCGGUGAGGUAAUGCCAUCUAUUGGCUAUUUGGCGGUGAGGUAAUGCCAUCUAUUGGCUAGUUGGCGGUGAGGUAAUGCCAUCUAUUGGCUAGUUGGCGGUGAGGUAAUGCCAUCUAUUGGCUAGUUGGCGGUGAGGUAAUGCCAUCUAUUGGCUAGUUGGCGGUGAGGUAAUGCCAUCUAUUGGCUAGUUGGCGGUGAGGUAAUGCCAUCUAUUGGCUAGUUGGCGGUGAGGUAAUGCCAUCUAUUGGCUAGUUGGCGGUGAGGUAAUGCCAUCUAUUGGCUAGUUGGCGGUGAGGUAAUGCCAUCUAUUGGCUAGUUGGCGGUGAGGUAAUGCCAUCUAUUACCCAGUUGGCGGUGAGGUAAUACCAUCUAUUGUCUAGUUGGCGGUGAGGUAAUAGUGUGGUGAUUGUGUGUAGGGUUACAACUGAUAUCAGUUGUUGUUUUUGCGUUCUGCUGUUGAAUCCUCCAACCAGGAUUUCUGUGAAACGGGAAUUUGAGAAAAGGUACCGUAAUUUUGCAACUCUGCCGUGUUGGAAAGAAAUGGGAAUGACAACUUGUAACGUUGCAUCGGCCAUUGUGAAUGUGAUAAGUACUAUUUGUCACUGUGAUGCGGAUAAGUACUAGGAAUCAUUGUGAUGGGGAUAAGUACUAGGAAUCAUUGUGAUGGGGAUAAGUACUAGGAAUCAUUGUGAUGGGGAUAAGUACUAGGAAUCAUUGUGAUGGGGAUAAGUACUAGGAAUCAUUGUGAUGGGGAUAAGUACUAGGAAUCAUUGUGAUGGGGAUAAGUACUAGGAAUCAUUGUGAUGGGGAUAAGUACUAGGAAUCAUUGUGAUGGGGAUAAGUACUAGGAAUCAUUGUGAUGGGGAUAAGUACUAGGAAUCAUUGUGAUGGGGAUAAGUACUAGGAAUCAUUGUGAUGGGGAUAAGUACUAGGAAUCAUUGUGAUGGGGAUAAGUACUAGGAAUCAUUGUGUUGGGGAUAAGUACUAGGUGUCAUUGUGUUGGGGAUAAGUACUAGGUGUCAUUGUGUUGGGGAUAAGUACUAGGUGUCAUUGUGUUGGGGAUAAGUACUAGGUGUCAUUGUGUUGGGGAUAAGUACUAGGUGUCAUUGUGUUGGGGAUAAGUACUAGGUGUCAUUGUGUUGGGGAUAAGUACUAGGUGUCAUUGCGAUGAUGGUAAGUUCCAGGUAUCAUUGUGAUGAUGGUAAGUACUAGGCAUCAUGGGGAUAAGUACUAGGCAUCAUUGUACCAGGUAUCAUUGGUAUAGUGUUAUGUACCAGGUAUCAUGGGGAUAAGUACCAGGUAUCAUGGGGAUAAGUACCAGGUAUCAUGGGGAUAAGUACCAGGUAUCAUGGGGAUAAGUACUAGGUAUCAUUGGUAUGGGGAUAUGUACUAGGUAUUGAUGGGUAUUAUUCUCUGUCCUUCAUAGGGUGCAUUUUAAAUGGCACUAUUCCUCUUCGUACACUCGUUUUUGACAGGAGCCACCUAGGGAGCCUCUAUAUCAGACAGGGUGUCAUUUGAGAUGAAAUCAUAGAUCUAACGACAACCAGGGUUUGGCAAGGGAUACGUCUUUUAAUUUAGACCGUGAUGAACCUAACCGCAGAAAUUCUAGUAAAGAGAUGUAUUUGCACACACACUUCAUGCAUACAACACCAGCAGACAGACACAACAACUUCCAUAAUUCACUUUUUUUAAUUUAUUUUUUUGAAUGAACAUGUGUUUUUUUUUUCUGUGUUCUAUUUCUACAGGUUUGGUUUUCGAUGCAGUAUGUUCAUUCAAGGUUUUCUUGCAUCGUUUUGCCACUUCCUUUUUAGGCACUUUUGAAGUUAUGCACUUAGAAAACAUGUUUUAUUAAAUAAUGCACCCACCCACAGUGCAAUGCUCUUUGAAAUGAUUAGAUUAAUACUGGAGAUGGAAGGUAUGACACACAAAGGAUUAUUAAAGUGAAACAAUCACAUUCACAGCAUCAUUUCAUACCUCCUUAAAGAAUAUCAGAGAUACUGUGACAUUUCUGUUAUUUUCUUGAGGAAGUGCGUGGUGUAUUUCCUGAUAUUAGGGAAACCUAUUUUCUCCCUUCACUGCUACACUGACUGAAGAUGGUUUGAUGUUAUGCCCUUAGACACAGAUCUAGGAUCAGCUUACCUUCAAUCAUAACCUUAAAUAUCAAUUGGGGGGGGCAGUUAAAGCUGAACUCAGAUCAGUAUCUAUGGGUUGAGUGGAGCUUAUGGAUCCAAAGUCUGGUAGUGUGACCUUUUCACUGACAGCAGUUGUGAGGGAGGAGUCAUAUGUUCAAUGAUUAUGUUCCCAUCGGAGUCUGGUAGCAACUUGUUCUGUGGAUCCCCCAUUUCCCCUUGUGGAGUUGAACCGACUGGGUUAAACAACAUCGGAAUAGUAGCAUUUUUUGGAUUGUUUGGUAACAGAAAAAUGAAUGUGGACGAUGGGGUUAAAAGCUGUAUGUUUUAUUUCAAACUUUUCUCAGUCUGAAGUGUCUUUUUGGAAGGAUAUCUGUAACGCGGCAGGAUUUCCUCAUUUUGGGGGGUGACUAAAUAUGCAAGCUAUGAGAGGACCCUUGUCAUUGCACCUGUUUAUAUAGCAAGUCAUUCCCUUAUGGUUAUAUUGUCCUGCCUGAUGUGAUGUCUCGGUAGGUUGAGCCUGUGAGGUUGAGAGCCAUGACUUUAUGCAAUGUCUUACCGUAUUAUAUGUUCAACUCUGUAAUGAUGAGGAUGAUUCAUGGUCUGCAAUGAGGACGAUUCGUGGUCUGCAAUGAGGACGAUUCGUGGUCUGCAAUGAGGACGAUUCGUGGUCUGCAAUGAGGACGAUUCGUGGUCUGCAAUGAGGACGAUUCGUGGUCUGCAAUGAGGACGAUUCGUGGUCUGCAAUGAGGACGAUUCGUGGUCUGCAAUGAGGACGAUUCGUGGUCUGCAAUGAGGACGAUUCGUGGUCUGCAAUGAGGAUGAUUCGUGGUCUGCAAUGAGGAUGAUUCGUGGUCUGCAAUGAGGAUGAUUCAUGGUCUGCAAUGAGGAUGAUUCAUGGUCUGCAAUGAGGACGAUUCGUGGUCUGCAAUGAGGACGAUUCGUGGUCUGCAAUGAGGACGAUUCGUGGUCUGCAAUGAGGAUGAUUCGUGGUCUGCAAUGAGGAUGAUUCAUGGUCUGCAAUGAGGAUGAUUCAUGGUCUGCAAAGGUCUGCAAUGAGGACGAUUCAUGGUCUGCAAUGAGGAUGAUUCGUGGUCUGCAAUGAGGAUGAUUCGUGGUCUGCAAUGAGGAUGAUUCGUGGUCUGCAAUGAUGGUGACUCGUGGUCUGCAAUGAUGGUGACUCGUGGUCUGCAAUGAUGAUGAUUCGUGCUCUGCAAUGAUGGUGAUUCGUGCUCUGCAAUGAGGGCGAUUCGUGCUCUGCAAUGAGGGCGAUUCGUGCUCUGCAAUGAGGGCGAUUCGUGCUCUGCAAUGAGGGCGAUUCGUGCUCUGCAAUGAGGAUGAUUCAUGGUCUGCAAUGAGGAUGAUUCGUGGUCUGCAAUGAGGAUGAUUCGUGGUCUGCAAUGAGGAUGAUUCAUGGUCUGCAAUGAGGAUGAUUCAUGGUCUGCAAUGAGGAUGAUUCAUGGUCUGCAAUGAGGACGAUUCGUGGUCUGCAAUGAGGAUGAUUCGUGGUCUGCAAUGAGGAUGAUUCGUGGUCUGCAAUGAGGAUGAUUCAUGGUCUGCAAUGAGGAUGAUUCAUGGUCUGCAAAGGUCUGCAAUGAGGACGAUUCAUGGUCUGCAAUGAGGAUGAUUCGUGGUCUGCAAUGAGGAUGAUUCGUGGUCUGCAAUGAUGGUGACUCGUGGUCUGCAAUGAUGGUGACUCGUGGUCUGCAAUGAUGAUGAUUCAUGGUCUGCAAUGAUGGUGAUUCGUGCUCUGCAAUGAGGGCGAUUCGUGCUCUGCAAUGAGGGCGAUUCGUGCUCUGCAAUGAGGGCGAUUCGUGCUCUGCAAUGAGGGCGAUUCGUGCUCUGCAAUGAGGACGAUUCGUGCUCUGCAAUGAGGACGAUUCGUGCUCUGCAAUGAGGACGAUUCGUGCUCUGCAAUGAGGACGAUUCGUGCUCUGCAAUGAGGACGAUUCGUGCUCUGCAAUGAUGGUGACUCGUGGUUUUGGACACGUUGUGCUUUGCUUGACAUGCAAAAUAUAUUCAAAUUUGGUAAGAGACUAAGCUUGGCAUUGAUCUGACAGAGCAGCUAGUAAUGGUCAUAGACGACAAGCUAUUUUAGGAUUCUAUGCACCAUGGUUGUCUAAAGGGAAAUGGUUGUCCACGGAACAAGUGACCUCCAAACAGACAUUUGAGACUAAAUAAAUCUAGAAAAUAAUGAAACAUUAGCUAAAUAACUUUCUCUACAUCACUAACAUGUGAAGCAGCAUUUAUAUAUUAGUAGUCUUUGUUUUUUGGUUUUUCGGGUCUACUUUUGUGUGCAGUCUAUCAACAAAGACUACCAGAAUAGUAAGAUAUUAAACAAAUCAGUGGAUUAAAUAUAUAUUUCUAAUUGUGAAAAAUGAAAAUGAACUCCUAUUCACUGAAGUGCCAAUCCUGACCAACGAAAGACUUGAGGUUGAUUAAACGUCUUUUGACUUAGUGAUCAUAAUCUUUUUUUUCCUUGAAUGUGCACGUUUGUAGUGCAAGAUACUGUUGCUGUUUUUUUUCUUAUCUUCUAGUUCCAUGACUUGCCGUGGUUUCUCUAAACAAGUGGCAUUCUUUACUGCUUUUGCACACAAAAAACUGUGGGAUGGAGUCAGAACAGAGGAAUGAUUUAAUCGUCAAAAAAAAAGAAUAAUACGUAUUUUAUUCUAUCAUGGUGAUCUGUCUAAGUGAAUAAUGAUGCUCUUUUCUUCCAUUUGAACAUGUUUUCACUGUUCAGAUCUCACGCUGAUGCAACUGCAGGACCGCCAGUCCAGACAUGGGUUUGAUUAGAGAAAGGCAGAGCCAUCAAGUCUAAUUUUAGGCUGAGAGACUGCAUUGCACAGUAGGUCCCUGAGUUUUUCCUUAGUCGGGUAAUAUGGUCUGGAAAAGCUCCGAGCCCAGGUUCAGGUCAGUUAUAGCAGGCCAAUACAAGGCCACGUUCAGUAGAAAAACAUUAAACGUUGCAGAUAGAGAAGCCACAAAUGGAGCGAAUGUGAUUCAUUAUUCUACAUUUUAGAGGCAUGUUUGUUCUACAUAGCAUAUUUCUAUCUUAAUGUUCCAAACUGUUGUGCCCUGCUGAACGGUCUGCUCAACUUGGGUCGUGCCAACAUGGAAGUUCAUCUACCCACAAACAGCUAACAGCCACACAAUGAGUAACCCAUCUACCCACAAACAACUAACAGCUAAUUCAAAAUGGAGACGACUCAUUUUUGUAUUUAUUUUUUGACUUUGUGGUGCUUUGCCAUUGCAUGUAUAUUGACUUGGAUAUGGAGGGUAUAUAAUUAUUAUUGGCUGUCCAGACCGUCACUCAAUCAACCAAUCACUUGUCCAGAGACAACUUUCAGCUAUCUCUUAAUUUAGCACAAUGAAUCAGAAGCCACAUCCUUGGCUGAGAAUGAACAACCUACCAACCAACCAGAGCUGCAAUAGAAUAUUCUCUAAAAGUCAGCCGUCCCCAGGGAUUCAUUUAAGACUGCUUCCAAAAGUGCAUCCUAUUCCCUAUCUAAUGCACUACUUUUAGAACAGGGGUCCAUGGGGCUCUGGUGAAAAGUAGUGCAUUAAAUAGGGAAUAGACUGUCAUUUGGGACAGAACCUUCUUCCCUUCCUUCUCCCUCUUCCGUGCAAUUACCAGAGCUGAAUGAAUCAUACACACGUGUAAUGAUUUCUGCAAAGUGCUGAAAUGCUUCAUAUGGCAAUAGUAAAAGGACAGGAGGUUUUUCCUGACCAGAAGAAAAUCAAAUGUUAUUUGAGACAUGCGUCCAAUACCCCAGGUGUAGAUCUUACAGUGAAAUGCUUACAAGCCCUUAACCAGUUUUAAGAAGAAAGUGUUAAAGUAUUUAUUUACCAAAAUAUCAGUGUCCCAAAUGGCACUAUAUACCCUAUAGCAGGGGUAUUUUCUCUUCUACUUGAUAAUUAAUUUCACACAUCUGGUGUCCCAGGUCUAAAUCGGUCCCUGAUUAGAAGGGAACAAUGAAAUAGUGCAGUGAAACUGGCUUUGAGGUCCAGAGUUGAGUUUGAGGACCCUAUAUAAUGCACUACUUUUGACCAGAAACCUAUUGGCCAUGGUCAAAAGUAGUGCACUGUAUGUGGAAUAGGGUGCCAUUUGGGAGGGCCUACUGGGUUGUAGUUAUUUGCUAUAGUGUUUCCCUGUCAGGCUCUAUGGUCAGGAAUAACUCCUACACCUAGGCAAAGAUUUGAAAAAUAAUAAAGAUAACAUUUAAAUGGGACUUUUCUUGUCGUAGAUCCUGUAAAUGGAUAUAUCUCCCGAAAAUCCCAAGCCACGCCUUAGUGCUCAGCUUUGUCAAAUAAAUAAUGCUAUCUAUUCUACAAUUGUUUACAAUGCGACAUGUUUGUAAAGUAUUUUUCAUAUGUCAUAACUGACCAGUCUUGAUGUAUACUCUUUGAAUCUCUCAUUUAUCCUUUGCAAUGUAUUUAUUUCUAAAACAAAUAUUUUUUCAUUUUCCCCCCCCUUUUUUUUUUUUUUUCUUACGAUAAACCAUCUUAUACUGUGACUUGACUUGACUGACGGUAUGAAUGAGUGACUAGAAACUGAUACACUUCAACAGAACAUGACACAAACAGGAAUACAUAAACAAACAAAAAAUGCAUUAACAAAUAUUGGAAAUGUAUACAAGUGAAAAAAAGUAAAUGGAAACUGUAAAAUAUAUAUAUUAAAACAAAUGUUGCAACCCUU